rnacentral:rRNA from 1 species
AUGGUGGCUGCUAUCUUCGGUCCUAGGAGUGCCAACCUCAACCAGAGCGUGGUCACCAAGUUAAAGGCCGUGUACACCCUGGUGGAACAGCUCUACACCGGGUCACAGCGUGCCUUAGCUGUGGUGGCCCUAUCCAACGAGGUGCCAACUCAUCUGGCCGAAGUCCUGCGCCGGCUCGCCGUUCUGCCUCAGCAGAUCCAAGAGCUGCGACGGGCCUCUGCAAGAGCCGGAGCGAUCGCCGCGCUGAGCCGGGCCAAGGCAUUUCUGCCGGAGCUAGACCCGGCGGACAUCGCCCUGGGUUAUCCAAGCCUGAAGGAAGACGGCUCAGCGUUCGAUUAG